UGUACUUCCUUAAAGAAUUGUCGGGUA
rnacentral:piRNA from 1 species